UUUCUGUAGGUGAACCUGCGGAAGGAUCAUUAUUGUAUAACCGAGGUGCGAGGGCUGUCGCUGACCCGAAAGGUCGUGCACGCCCGAGUGCCCUCACACACAUCCAUCUCACCCCUAUGUGCACCACCGCGUGGGUCCCCCAUUGGCUUGUUCGGAGGGGGGCUUACGUUUUCACACAAACUUUGUAUGCAGUGUAGAAUGUAUUUUUUGUUUUUGCGAUCACGCAAUCAAUACAACUUUCAACAACGGAUCUCUUGGCUCUC
rnacentral:misc_RNA from 1 species